CUAACGCGUUAAGUCGACCGCCUGGGGAGUACGGCCGCAAGGUUAAAACUCAAAUGAAUUGACGGGGGCCCGCACAAGCGGUGGAGCAUGUGGUUUAAUUCGAUGCAACGCGAAGAACCUUACCUACUCUUGACAUCCAGAGAACUUACCAGAGAUGCUUUGGUGCCUUCGGGAACUCUGAGACAGGUGCUGCAUGGCUGUCGUCAGCUCGUGUUGUGAAAUGUUGGGUUAAGUCCCGCAACGAGCGCAACCCUUAUCCUUUGUUGCCAGCGGUUAGGCCGGGAACUCAAAGGAGACUGCCAGUGAUAAACUGGAGGAAGGUGGGGAUGACGUCAAGUCAUCAUGGCCCUUACGAGUAGGGCUACACACGUGCUACAAUGGCGCAUACAAAGAGAAGCGACCUCGCGAGAGCAAGCGGACCUCAUAAAGUGCGUCGUAGUCCGGAUUGGAGUCUGCAACUCGACUCCAUGAAGUCGGAAUCGCUAGUAAUCGUGGAUCAGAAUGCCACGGUGAAUACGUUCCCGGGCCUUGUACACACCGCCCGUCACACCAUGGGAGUGGGUUGCAAAAGAAGUAGGUAGCUUAACCUUCGGGAGGGCGCU
rnacentral:rRNA from 1 species